rnacentral:rRNA from 1 species
AGAUUGAACGCUGGCGGCAGGCCUAACACAUGCAAGUCGAGCGGUAGAGAGGUGCUUGCACCUCUUGAGAGCGGCGGACGGGUGAGUAAUGCCUAGGAAUCUGCCUAGUGGUGGGGGAUAACGUUCGGAAACGGACGCUAAUACCGCAUACGUCCUACGGGAGAAAGCGGGGGACCUUCGGGCCUCGCGCCAUUAGAUGAGCCUAGGUCGGAUUAGCUAGUUGGUGAGGUAAUGGCUCACCAAGGCGACGAUCCGUAACUGGUCUGAGAGGAUGAUCAGCCACACUGGAACUGAGACACGGUCCAGACUCCUACGGGAGCAGCAGUGGGGAAUAUU